rnacentral:rRNA from 1 species
AUUGAACGCUGGCGGCAUGCCUUACACAUGCAAGUCGAACGGUAACAGGUCUUCGGAUGCUGACGAGUGGCGAACGGGUGAGUAAUACAUCGGAACGUGCCCGAUCGUGGGGGAUAACGGAGCGAAAGCUUUGCUAAUACCGCAUACGAUCUACGGAUGAAAGCAGGGGACCGCAAGGCCUUGCGCGGACGGAGCGGCCGAUGGCAGAUUAGGUAGUUGGUGGGAUAAAAGCUUACCAAGCCGACGAUCUGUAGCUGGUCUGAGAGGACGACCAGCCACACUGGGACUGAGACACGGCCCAGACUCCUACGGGAGGCAGCAGUGGGGAAUUUUGGACAAUGGGCGCAAGCCUGAUCCAGCCAUGCCGCGUGCAGGAUGAAGGCCUUCGGGUUGUAAACUGCUUUUGUACGGAACGAAAGACUCUUUCUAAUAAAGAGGGUCCAUGACGGUACCGUAAGAAUAAGACACCGGCUAACUAACGUGCCAGCAGCCGCGGUAAAG